AUUGAACGCUGGCGGCAUGCCUUACACAUGCAAGUCGAACGGUAACGCGGGGCAACCUGGCGACGAGUGGCGAACGGGUGAGUAAUGCAUCGGAACGUGCCCAGUAGUGGGGGAUAGCCCGGCGAAAGCCGGAUUAAUACCGCAUACGACCUAAGGGUGAAAGGGGGGGAUCGCAAGACCUCUCGCUAUUGGAGCGGCCGAUGUCAGAUUAGGUAGUUGGUGGGGUAAAGGCCUACCAAGACGACGAUCUGUAGCUGGUCUGAGAGGACGACCAGACACACUGGGACUGAGACACGGCCCAGACUGCUACGGGAGGCAGCAGUGGGAAUUUUGGACAAUGGGCGCAAGCCUGAUCCAGCCAUGCCGCGUGCGGGAAGAAGGCCUUCGGGUUGUAAACCGCUUUUGUCAGGGAAGAAAUCUUCUGAGUUAAUACCUCGGGAGGAUGACGGUACCUGAAGAAUAAGCACCGGCUAACUACGUGCCAGCCGCCGCAGUAAAAC
rnacentral:rRNA from 1 species